ACCGUCGCAAAUAGCUUGUGCGGUGCCACAGUUUCUUUUGUGGAGAAGCUACUAGGCUACGCCUCAACUUGAUUGAGUCUUUCCUGUUUCUCACCACUCCUUAACUAAUUCGGAUCUUCUAUUGGCUAAGAUGAAGAAACUGAAGGUUAAACCGGUUGUGACUCUCUCAAUCUCACUGUAAUAGAAUCGGCAAUUGAAAUCCCCAGACGUUUGGUUCCAAAUUCAAAUACCCUUUACUGUACCAUAAGGGAGAAGGAAUAACAACAGAAAAGUGGCAAAAUGUAGGGGAUGGAAGGAUAUCAGAGGAGAAGCAUCGUCAUAAGUGUCCAUACCCUGAAUUCUGUCCUGGAUGUCUUGCGCCUCUAUUUCCUUCAGAAGAAGUGGACCCAAUCUGUCAUGUCCAGCAACAUAGCUCUCUUUAAAUGAACAUGUCUUCUCCAGGUAGAACUCAAGUUUGUGCAAAGGAGUCCCAGGGGUUUUAUGGAAAAAGGCCUUAAUGUUGGACAAGAAACCCUGAAGAUCCAUUCACUUUGCUUUUUUUGUCAGCCAUAUAUGAUGUGUAUAAAUAGCAAUAAAAUGGUAAGGAGUCAAAAUUUAAUUAUAUUACAUUAUCAAAAAUUUUUAUUUAUGUAGAACUAAUUCAUUCAAUAAUGGAUGAUACACAAUUGAUUGCCACUCAACCUUGGCAAAGUAUAUACAAAAUAACUAAUAUUCAUUUAUAAUGUUCAUUUAUUUUUUCUAUGAAUAUUUUUGUACCAAUUGGCUCAUUGUGUACAUUAGAUAAAAACCAGUAAGUUUGAAUAGAUAAAGAAACCAAAAUGUUAAAAAUUUGAAUUCCAAGAAAAAGCUAGUCUCAACCCUUGGCUCAACCUUGUGCCAAAAUCUGUUACACUGGGAGAUAACUUGAUUGAAUAGCCAUUGAUAACAUUUCUUCACAACAUGGGUAGCUCUAUCCAGAGCCCUGAGUCUAGAGUGAUGUCAUUCUGGGGAAAUAGAAUUAAUCAUAGAAUGAGAUUAAGUUUAAGGGUUCAAGUAGGAAGCUCAUAGAUUUCUUUAGGUUUCUCUCCUGUGAGCACAAUUGUCCUAGGUAUCCAAAAGGGGUACAAUCACCAGAACAGAGCCAAUUUCAUCAUUUCUGGCAGGAAUAUCCAGUUACUUGGCUGAUAGGGAGAACUCUAGGCAUUAUAGGUCAAAGUACAAAGUCAGAGUCAGUCGGUGGGUCAGAAGCUACAGGAUAUAUAAGAAAUUGGAUUCAGAAGCAAAAAGUACAAGGUAAUUCUGCUGGGAUUCAAGAUUGAAACCUUGGAUAGCACCAAAUGGAAAAAGACUAUAAAUAACUUUAAACGAAAACCAAACCAAACUAAACCAAAUCAAACCAAAACAUAAAACUGGAAGGAAGCAUGAUACAGUGAAAAGAUUUCUUGAUUUGGAGUUCAGAGGCUUUUAGGGUUCAAAGCCAAGUUCCACUGUACACAGUUGUGACCUGGGAUGAAUCAUUUAAUUGCUACAGUUCUCAGUUUCCACAUCUGUAAAAUGAGCUAGAGAAGGAAAUGACAACUGCCAAGGAAACCUCAAAUGAGGUCAUAGAGUCGGACACAAUGGAAAUGAGUGAAUAGCAACAAUGACAAACAAUAAGGUAUUGGGUUAGAUGAUUUUUAUAGGUUUUUGUAAGUGUCAAUCUGUGAUAUUAUGAUGAAACAAAUGUCUAGUUUUAACAUCAAAUCUCUAAUAUGAAAGAAAUAGUAAUUCAAUCAUAGUACUCCCCAAACUCUGAUCCCAAAUUAUGACUAUUGAACCUCAUAUAAAAUGAAUCAAAUUGUUAAUAAUCCUUUGAUUCUGACAAAUGUUAUGGGGAGGUAACAUAUCAUGGGGCAAAAGUUCUGAUUUGGAGCCUAGGAACCUAUGUCCCUUCCUCCAUCUCUGCUCUCCUUGUAUGACCUGGAACAAAGCUCUUAUCUUUUUUAGAUUUUAGUUUCCUUAUCUGUAAAAUAAUAGGGCUAGAUUUGAUUAUUUCUGAAACGUAUGCAUGUAUGAAAUGUAUCUUGAAAUGUAUGAUCUAUGAGCUAAUAGCAUUAAAAUGUGAAUUAUUACAUCUGAUACUGUUCCCAAUUAUGCACUGCUAUAUAUCAAAUAUGCUCUUUUAAAAUAUAUUAUAAAUGAAUUUUUGUUAAUACUUUCUGGGGGUUUUUUUGUGUAUCGUCUUCAUUUCCCAACA